rnacentral:snRNA from 1 species
AUGCUAGCUUUGGCAGCACAUAUACUAAAAUUGGAAUGAUACGAAGAAGAUUAGCAUGGCCACUGUGCAAGGAUAACAAGCAAAUUCAUGAAGAAUUCCAUAUUUUC